rnacentral:rRNA from 1 species
CAGUCUUGAGUACAGUAGAGGUGGGCGGAAUUCGUGGUGUAGCGGUGAAAUGCUUAGAUAUCACGAAGAACUCCGAUUGCGAAGGCAGCUCACUGGACUGCAACUGACACUGAUGCUCGAAAGUGUGGGUAUCAAACAGGAUUAGAUACCCUGGUAGUCCACACAGUAAACGAUGAAUACUCGCUGUUUGCGAUAUACAGUAAGCGGCCAAGCGAAAGCAUUAAGUAUUCCACCUGGGGAGUACGCCGGCAACGGUGAAACUCAAAGGAAUUGACGGGGGCCCGCACAAGCGGAGGAACAUGUGGUUUAAUUCGAUGAUACGCGAGGAACCUUACCCGGGCUUAAAUUGCAGUGGAAUGAUGUGGAAACAUGUCAGUGAGCAAUCACCGCUGUGAAGGUGCUGCAUGGUUGUCGUCAGCUCGUGCCGUGAGGUGUCGGCUUAAGUGCCAUAACGAGCGCAACCCUUAUCUUCAGUUACUAACAGGUCAUGCUGAGGACUCUGGAGAGACUGCCGUCGUAAGAUGUGAGGAAGGUGGGGAUGACGUCAAAUCAGCACGGCCCUUACGUCCGGGGCUACACACGUGUUACAAUGGGGGGUACAGAAGGCAGCUAGCGGGUGACCGUAUGCUAAUCCCAAAAUCCUCUCUCAGUUCGGAUCGAAGUCUGCAACCCGACUUCGUGAAGCUGGAUUCGCUAGUAAUCGCGCAUCAGCCACGGCGCGGUGAAUACGUUCCCGGGCCUUGUACACACCGCCCGUCAAGCCAUGGGAGCCGGGGGUACCUGAAGUACGUAACCGCAAGGAUCGUCCUAGGGUAAAACUGGUGACUGGGGCUAAGUCGUAACAAGGUAACCA